rnacentral:rRNA from 1 species
GACGGAGGAUGCAAGUGUUAUCCGGAAUCACUGGGCGUAAAGCGUCUGUAGGUGGUUUAAUAAGUCAACUGUUAAAUCUUGAGGCUCAACCUCAAAAUCGCAGUCGAAACUAUUAGGCUAGAGUAUAGUAGGGGUAAAGGGAAUUCCAGUGGAGCGGUGAAAUGCGUAGAGAUUGGAAAGAACACCGAUGGCGAAGGCACUUUACUGGGCUAUUACU